UAGCUCAGGGGUAGAGUGCUUGCCUAGCAUGCAGGCAGCCCUGGGUUCAAUCCCCAG
rnacentral:tRNA from 1 species